GACGAACGCUGGCGGCGUGCUUAACACAUGCAAGUCGAGCGGUAAGGCUCCUUCGGGAGUACACGAGCGGCGAACGGGUGAGUAACACGUGAGCAAUCUGCCCUUCUCAUCGGAAUAACCAUUGGAAACGAUGGCUAAUGCCGAAUAUGACCUCGGAUCACAUGUUCUGAGGUGGAAAGCUCCGGCGGAGAAGGAUGAGCUCGCGGCCUAUCAGCUGUUGGCGAGGUAAUAGCUCACCAAGGCGAUGACGGGUAGCCGGCCUGAGAGGGUGACCGGCCACACUGGGACUGAGACACGGCCCAGACUCCUACGGGAGGCAGCAGUGGGGAAUAUUGGACAAUGGGCGAAAGCCUGAUCCAGCAACGCCGCGUGAGGGAUGACGGCCUGGUGU
rnacentral:rRNA from 1 species